CCAGCAGCCGCGGUAAUACGGAGGGUGCGAGCGUUAAUCGGAUUUACUGGGCGUAAAGCGUACGUAGGCGGCUUUUUAAGUCGGAUGUGAAAUCCCUGAGCUUAACUUAGGAAUUGCAUUCGAUACUGGGAAGCUAGAGUAUGGGAGAGGAUGGUAGAAUUCCAGGUGUAGCGGUGAAAUGCGUAGAGAUCUGGAGGAAUACCGAUGGCGAAGGCAGCCAUCUGGCCUAAUACUGACGCUGAGGUACGAAAGCAUGGGGAGCAAACACGCAUUAGAUACCCUGGUAGUCCAUGCCGUAAACGAUGUCUACUAGCCGUUGGGGCCUUUGAUGCUUUAGUGGCGCAGCUAACGCGAUAAGUAGACCGCCUGGGGAGUACGGUCGCAAGACUAAAACUCAAAUGAAUUGACGGGGGCCCGCACAAGCGGUGGAAGCAUGUGGUUUAAUUCGAUGCAACGCGAAAACCUUACCUGGUCUCGACAUAGUAAAACUUUCCGAAAUGGAUUGGUGCCUUCGGAACUUACAUACAGGUGCUGCAUGCUGUCUCAGCUCGGUCUGGAAUUGGGUUAAGUCCCGCAACGAGCGCAACCCUUUUCCUUAUUUGCCAGCGGGUAAGCCGGGAACUUUAAGGAUACUGCCAGUGACAAACUGGAGGAAGGCGGGGACGACGUCAAGUCAUCAUGGCCCUUACGACCAGGGCUACACACGUGCUACAAUGGUCGGUACAAAGGGUUGCUACCUAGCGAUAGGAUGCUAAUCUCAAAAAGCCGAUCGUAGUCCGGAUUGGAGUCUGCAACUCGACUCCAUGAAGUCGGAAUCGCUAGUAAUCGCGGAUCAGAAUGCCGCGGUGAAUACGUUCCCGAGCUUUGUACACACCGCCCGUCACACCAUGGGAGUUUGUUGCACCAGAAGUAGGUAGUCUAACCGCAAGGAGGACGCUUACCACGGUGUGGCCGAUGACUGGGGUGAAGUCGUAACAAGGUAGCCGAU
rnacentral:rRNA from 1 species